rnacentral:rRNA from 1 species
UACGUAGGGUGCAAGCGUUAAUCGGAAUUACUGGGCGUAAAGCGUGCGCAGGCGGUUGUGCAAGACCGAUGUGAAAUCCCCGGGCUCAACCUGGGAACUGCAUUUGUGACUGCACGGCUCGAGUGCGGCAGAGGGGGAUGGAAUUCCGCGUGUAGCAGUGAAAUGCGUAGAUAUGCGGAGGAACACCGAUGGCGAAGGCAAUCCCCUGGGCCUGCACUGACGCUCAUGCACGAAAGCGUGGGGAUCAAACAGG